GACGAACGCUGGCGGCGUGCUUAACACAUGCAAGUCGAACGGUGAAGGGACUGGUUUUGCUGGUCCUGGAUGAGUGGCGAACGGGUGAGUAACACGUGAGUAACCUGCCCCCUUCUUCUGGAUAACCGCAUGAAAGUGUGGCUAAUACGGGAUAUUCUGGGUCUGUCGCAUGGUGGGCCUGGGAAAGAUUGCGCCUUUUUUGGUGUUUUUGGUGGGGGAUGGGCUCGCGGCCUAUCAGCUUGUUGGUGGGGGGAUGGCCUACCAAGGCGGUGACGGGUAGCCGGCCUGAGAGGGUGGACGGUCACACUGGGACUGAGACACGGCCCAGACUCCUACGGGAGGCAGCAGUGGGGAAUAUUGCACAAUGGGCGCAAGCCUGAUGCAGCGACGCCGCGUGAGGGAUGGAGGCCUUCGGGUUGUGAACCUCUUUCGCCAGUGAAGCAGGCCUGCCUCUUUUUGUGGGUGGGUUGACGGUAGCUGGAUAAGAAGCGCCGGCUAACUACGUG
rnacentral:rRNA from 1 species